rnacentral:rRNA from 1 species
GACGAACCGUCCGAACGUUAUUCGGAAUCACUGGGCUUAAAGGGUGCGUAGGCGGUGCGGAAAGUUGGGCGUGAAAUCCCUCGGCUCAACCGAGGAACUGCGCCCAAAACUACCGUGCUCGAGGGAGGUAGAGGUGAGCGGAACUUAGGGUGGAGCGGUGAAAUGCGUUGAUAUCCUAAGGAACACCGGUGGCGAAAGCUGCUCACUGGAUCUCUUCUGACGCUGAGGCACGAAAGCUAGGGUAGCGAACGGG